GACGAACGCUGGCGGCGUGCCUAAUACAUGCAAGUAGAACGCUGAAGGAGGAGCUUGCUUCUCCGGAUGAGUUGCGAACGGGUGAGUAACGCGUAGGUAACCUGCCUGGUAGCGGGGGAUAACUAUUGGAAACGAUAGCUAAUACCGCAUAACAGUAGAUAUCGCAUGAUAUCUGCUUGAAAGGUGCAAUUUCAUCACUACCAGAUGGUCCUGCGUUGUAUUAGCUAGUUGGUGAGGUAACGGCUCACCAAGGCGACGAUACAUAGCCGACCUGAGAGGGUGAUCGGCCACACUGGGACUGAGACACGGCCCAGACUCCUACGGGAGGCAGCAGUAGGGAAUCUUCGGCAAUGGACGGAAGUCUGACCGAGCAACGCCGCGUGAGUGAAGAAGGUUUUCGGAUCGGAAAGCUCUGUUGUAAGAGAAGAACGAGUGUGAGAGUGGAAAGUGCACACUGUGACGGUAUCUUACCAGAAAGGGACGGCUAACUACGUG
rnacentral:rRNA from 1 species